CACAAGCGGUGGAGCAUGUGGUUUAAUCGAAGCAACGCGAAGUAACCUUACCAGGUCUUGACAUCCCGAUGCUAUUUCUAGAGAUAGAAAGUUACUUCGGUACAUCGGUGACAGGUGGUGCAUGGUUGCGUCAGCUCGUGUCGUGAGAUGUUGGGUUAAGUCCCGCAACGAGCGCAACCCCUAUUGUUAGUUGCCAUCAUUCAGUUGGGCACUCUAGCGAGACUGCCGGUAAUAAACCGGAGGAAGGUGGGAUGACGUCAAAUCAUCAUGCCCCUUAUGACCUGGGCUACACACGUGCUACAAUGGUUGGUACAACGAGUUGCGAGUCGGUGACGGCGAGCUAAUCUCUUAAAGCCAAUCUCAGUUCGGAUUGUAGGCUGCAACUCGCCUACAUGAAGUCGGAAUCGCUAGUAAUCGCGGAUCAGCACGCCGCGGUGAAUACGUUCCCGGGCCUU
rnacentral:rRNA from 1 species